AAGAAAAAGAAAACCUCUUCAAGGUGGGUAUGAUUAUCCGCUUUUCAUAUAGGCUCAGAGAGAGUGGGUAACUGCUACAAGAUCACAGUUAGCAAGUGAGCAAACUGAAAUUUAAAUUCCAUCUGCCUUUAUAUUGCUCUGUUGUCUUUUCAGCAUAUGCCAUCUCAUACUUACCAUCUUUAUGUUUACAAAUUCAAUUUCAUUUUGUACUCAUCUUUUGCUUAUAUUUUUCUUUUUCAACUCUACCAGUUAUCUAUCUUUGGUUUGAAAAGUAGUGUAAUCAUCCUUUCUCUGAGGAGGUGACAUUUGAACUAUACCCUGAAUGUUGGAGAGGAGCCACCAGGUGAAGCCGCCCUGGUUCUCAAGCUGGGCUGUUCAGGGAAUCACCUGGGAAGCUUAAAAACAAACAACCCAAACCAAAACCACUUUGGUGCCUGGGUACCACUCUGGAGAUUCUGAAUUGAUGCCUGGGUACCACUCUGGAGAUUCUGAAUUGAUUGGCUUGGGAUGCGGCCUGGAAUGCAGAUGGUUUUACUGUGUGACUAAGGCUGAAAAACAUUGGUCAAGGGAAGAACAUUCCCAGCUGAGAAAACAUCAAGUGCAAAGGAGGAUUUGUGGUGGCAGUGAGUGUGAGUGGGGAGCAGCGAGGGGACACUGAUGGAGAAGGCCAUCCUGCUGAAUCCGAAUGGAGGAGGGAGAAUGCAAACUCCAAGAUCAGAAAGGCAGGCACAGCCCCCCAUGGAGGGCAUUUUAUCCUGGGGAAUAAGUUUGAAUUUUAUGUAAAUGAAACUGGAAGGCCUGAAGGGUUUUGAGCAGAGCAGUGAACUAUGAUUUUGAAGCAAGUACUAUGUAUAAAACUACCUCAUUCUUUUUAAGGAAAGCAUAGCCCUCCAGAUUAUGUAUAUCCCAUAAUUUAUUCAACCACUUUCCAGUUGAUUGACAUUUGGGUUGCUUCCAAUGGAAUGCUAUUACAAAUAGAGCUGCAGUGAAAAUCCUCGUGCACUUGUGCUCUUGCAUUUUUGUAGGAUAGAGUCCAAAGGCUUAAAAAAUUUAGACAGGGAACACUGUGGUGGGGAGGGGAAAAAAUCCUUUAAAACUCCGUAUCAUGCAAGGGAGAGAGAUCUCUUAAGCCCAAGUGUCUCAAAUGUGUGUUCCACACCAGCCUGGAUAAAGCCAGGUUUAGCAGACCAUCAAGAUUUUGCAAACAGCCACUGAAGUGUCCUACAAUAAUACUGAAGUGUAAGAAACAUGGACACGCCCAGCGUUACUGAAACGGACAUUUCAUUUCCCCUUAGGUUUUAAUAAUAUUAUAAAUUGAUUACAUUCGCUCUGCUUUCAGUCCUAUCCAAGUGAUUUAGCUAAAAUAUUGUAUGUUUAGUAUUUCAUGUUCACAUGAAAGUCAGUUUUUAAAAAUCCUGUCAUAAAUCAGAACAGAAUUUCCCUUUCAGAUAAGUAUACCAUUUUUUAUAAUUUCCAUUGUCUAUACAAAAGGAGCCUAAUACAAAAUGUUUCUCCAUCAAUUCAAAUCUUUUCUUUUUUUUUUUUUUUUAACUUCUCAAGGCGUUUUCACCUUUCUGACACAUUUGUGUACAAAAAAGUUCUGAUCUGUUCAUUUCACUAACGUUUAUUCAUAGGUUGUGCUCGCUGCUGGGCUCCAAAGAUAGAGCACACUCAACCCUCGUGCUUGUUGAGUUUGCAGUCUAGAGGGGGAGGUAGCCCAGCAGGUAGAGAGUCACAACUCAGGGUGAGCCAGGCUUCUUCAGGGAAAGCAGGGGAUGAUGUGGGAGCACAGAAGGUGGACCAAACACCGUGCUGAGGGCUGGAGGGGGGUGAUAAGCAACUGGAAAGGAUUGUGGCUAAAUUAAGCAGACAUUUGUAUUGGGAGACUAUCAUGAAAUCAAUGGAAGGUGUAUGAGUUUCCUAUUGCUGCUGUAACAAAUCAUGGCAAACCUAGCUUAAAACAGCCCAAAUUUAUCAUCUUAUCAUUCUGGAGGUCAGAAGCCCAUAAGUCUCAGAGAGCUAAAAUCAAGGUGUCAUCAGGGCUGGUUCCUUCUGGAGGUUCUGGGGGAGAAUCUGUUCCUUUAAUCUUGCAGCUUUUCAAGGCUGCCAGCAUUGCCUGGUUCACGGCCACAUCAGUCCAAUCUCUGCUGCUACCAGCUCACAGCCUUCUCCUAUCAUUGACCCCCGCCUCCUCUUGUAAGAACCCCUGUGAUUACAUUGGGCCCACAGAUAAUCCAGGAUAAUCUGCCCAUCUCAAGAUUCCUUUUUUUUUUUUUAGUUAUUUCUGAGAUAUACAUUUUAAAGUAAUAACUAGAAUUAUGACUUAUAACAUUAUACCAGAACAUAUAAGAUUUUUAGAAAUUUCAUGUAAUGUCUGAAACACUGCUGGGGGCGUCAUCCUGGAGGAAGAGAGGCCUGGGCUGGAGGCCUGAGGAAGUUGUAAGCGUAACUCAGGUGAGUUCUUCUGUCCUUCUUCUUCAGGUAGCUCACUUAAGGACACUUGGGCCCUUUAUCAGGCUGCCAUUUUUUAAAUUUUUAUUUAUUUAUUUUUGGCUGCAUUUUUGGUCUUCGGGGCUGCACGCAGGCUUUCUCUAGUUGCUACGAGCAGGGGCUACUCUUCCUUGAGGUGUGCGGGCUUCUCACUGUGGUGGCUUCUCUCAUUGCGGAGCACGGGCUCUAGGCGCGUGGGCUUCAGUAGUUGUGGCAUGCAGGCUCAGUAGUUGUAGUGCAGGGACUUAGUUGCUCUGUGACAUAGGGGAUCCUCCCAGACCAGGGAUUGAAACAAUGUCCCCUGCAUUGGCAGGCGGAUUCUUCACCACUGCGCCACCCGGCAAGCCCCAGGCUGCCAUUUUCCAAAAGAACUUUACUAAUAAAAGACUUGAAAAGAAAUCAAAGACGCACAGUCUGUUCUAAAAGCAUACCAGUAAAAAACUAGAGUCACUUACACUUUAAUACACUCCUGGUGGAGGUGCAGAUUGACAAAAUCUUUCCCAAAAUGAAGAGAUGCCAAGAGUCUUUCGAAGGACAUACCAUUUGGCCCAGUGAUUCUGGGUCAUCUCAGAUACAUCUCAGAUUGAAGGGAAAAGGAAAUAGACAAAAAUGUAGAGAUUUAUGUAUAUGACUGUUAAUUCUAGCAUUGUUUAUAGUAGCAAGUAUGGGUAAUAUCACUGUCCAACAAUGUGGGGGAUGGCUGUUGGAAUUUUAUUCUUUCUUUACAAGUGAUAGUCUCAAAGGAUUCUUAAGGCUAUGGCGUAUUAAGAAUAUGUCUUGUUAACUAAAAGAAGGCAAUUUCAAAACAAAAUAUAUAAUAUGCUACCAACAUUUUAAAAGCCAUGUAUAUGCUUAGGGGGAAAAAAGGCACAGUAAUUUUCCAUAAAUUUUCAGAGAUUUAGGCCAUGGACCCUCUGAAAUCCGUCCUAGGGUUCUAGAUUUAGGUACCCUGGACUAAAAGGGAUAUCGCUGGCUAAUGAGUUUAGAGAAAAUUUUAGUCUUUUUAUGUGCACUUUUUCAAGUGUUUCAAAUUUUCAGUGAAUUGUUUUUAUAAUCUGAACAUUUUCUUUUUAACUUAAUGGCAUUGGAAAAAUUAAGCUGUGGUUUAGGAGAAAAUAAGGAAGAAAAAUGUGUAUGCAGCACAAAUUUUCUUAACCAGGGAUGUGUGUGUUAGAACCACCUGGGGUGCUUUUUCCACAAUAUACACCUACCCCCCACCCCAGAGAUUCUGAUUCAGUAUGAAAAAAAAAAAUCCUCAGAAUCAUCGGGGCACCCCUGCUUAAGGGUCAUCAAUUUUAAAUAUGUAUGUAUUUCCUAUAUGAAAAAGCAAACUUCAAACCUCCCUCAGCAGUAAUGCCUCUCUGUCUUCAUUUCUUCAUAAUUAAGAUAUUUGAUGAUUCUCAGGUACUUAGCUUCAUUUCUUCACCUCUCUUUUACUUCUUAAUAGCAUGCAUCUCACCAGAAAGCACUAUUCUAACUUAACUCUUGGAACUCUCUUACCCUUUAAUAUGUCUUGUGUCACUGUUAUCAUCUAUAAAGUAUUUUGGAUCGUACUUGCUGGCAGAGCUCUCAGUAUAUAAGCCAUUGCUCCUUUGCCACCAUUUCAGUGAUGUUCAGUACCCCACUAGGAAAAAGUUGUUUUGUAGUCCUUCCUUGGAAAUUUGCCGACAGUGGAAAGACUGAGUCCUAAUUGCCCUCCAAAGCAAGGGUCAAAUUUUAAUACCCUUAACUGGAAAAUUGCAAGACUCAGUUACUUAACUUGGUGAGCAGAACUUGGCAUAAAAGCAACACAAUCAGAUGCCUUUUCUCAGAGGGAGAGCUUUCUACUGGAAAUUGAUUGAGAAGAUGAAGAACAUGCUGACCCAUUGGCUGGAACUUUUCUCCGGGGUUAGAGAGAGUCCCUUUAUGUCUUUAUUUUAUUCAUAUAUUUACGGCACAAAUGGGUGAGCCAAAAGAAGGAACAGACAUUUUUGGGCAAUGGUUCAUCUUUUUUGUCCCCCAGUUGCUUUUCGUUCCAACCUGCAUUGAAAUUUUGAUACAAGAUUUUGUUGGUUAGCUAACUCGAGUAUCAAGACCUUAAAACAUAGCUUAGCUCACUGACCCACAUUUUAAUCUUUUAAUUGUUGAGACUGUUAUCUGAAGAUCAGGAAAAAGUAAGAAAAUCGAUUUGCCGAUGAACAACUGUUUCAAAUUAUGACUUGGUUGACUUUAAAAACAAAAUAUCAACAUUAGACCUUAACACUUCAACUUGGAACUUGGUCCUGGGGCUUGACUGAAUUUAUAACCUUAAUUCCAUAGCUUCAUCAUUCCUAGGAGAAAAGGGUCUAUGGACUUGGGUCCAGAGAUUUCAGAUAGGGCUUUGAGAGUAGGGAGAUCGAUGAAGGCAACCGUUUAAAUAUUUGAAGAGAGCCUUUCACUAGACAAACAAAUUUGUUUUUUAAAUGUAGGGGUUGUGACUGAGUUAAACAAAAAUAGAGAUAUAGUAUUUUUAGGUUUCUCUCUGAUAGUUUGGAAAAUCUUUAAAUUCAUCUUGACACAGUAUUAUCUUUACUCUGGAAGCUUUACUUCCUUUCAGUAAUGAAAAUACUGGCGAUAACUACAAACUGUAGCCACCUCUGCUGUGAGUCAGAAUCUAGAGACACCGUGUGAGGUUUGGACACACUGGAAGUUUCGGGAAGAAGGUACAGAGGGACCUCGAUUACAUGGAGCAAUCUGGGAAAAUCUGAGUAACUGAAUUCAACAAUUCUAGCUGAUUACUUCUAUAUUCUAGGUAGUGGAAUAUUGGGGAGACAGUAUAGUGGCACAGUGACUACAAUGGGUCAAUUAAUUAAACUUUCUGGCUGCAUGAGGAUUGAGUACAUGUGCUCAUCUGUGAGGCCGAGCUCUCUCUGAGCUCGGUUCAGGCCUGUGCAUUUUCUGUGUGUGUGUGUGUGUGUGUGUGUGUGUGUGUGUGUGUGUGUGUGUGUGUAAUUUUUAAUGGUGCCGAUGAAGACUUAUAGGAUGGCAUCUGCUAUGGACCAAAUGUUUGUGUCCCCCCAAAAUCCGUAUGUUGAAACACUAAUUCCCCCACUAAUUCCAUAUGUGAUGGUAUAUGGAGAUGAGUAUAUGGAGUAUAUGGAUGGUAUCUGGAGAUGAAGCCUUUGGAAGGUAAUUAAGUCAUGAGGGUGGAGCCAUCUUGAUGGGAUUAGUUCCUUGAUACGAAAAGAUACUAGAGAGCUUACUUCCUCUUUUUCAGCUCUCUGCCAUGUGACGAUACAAGAAAAUAGCCAUGUACAAACCAGGAAGUGAUUUCUCACCAGACGCUGUCCUUCUGGUACCUUGAUCUUGGACAUCCUGUCUGUGAGAAAUAAAUGUUUAUGGUCCAAGCCUCUCUAUGUCUGUGUAUACUAUUAUAGCAGCCCGAGCUGACUAAGACCACAACCAAGAGACCUUUAGGUUGUAUUAUGAGUAGCAGGCUGUUUAUUUUCUAGUUCACAUAUCUUUGGUGGGUCACUGGAUGACAUGCAAACUUUGCUGGCUUUGCCUUCUCUCCCACCAGGGUGAGCAUCCGUCAGCAACAGUGCAGUGGUGAGGCACCUCUCAGCCCUCUCUGAGUGCUUGGUUGACGUCCUGGCAUGCAGGGGCCCUGCGCCUGGCUCACCACGGUGAUGCCUGUGUUCUUGUCCGGUCCGAGGAAUCAGGGCUGCUGCUGUCCUCUCCUUGUGUGCUUCUCUUUGCCCUUCCAGGCAACCCUGAUUUGCUGCCCUUUAUUCAUGGGAAUAAGUGAGUGUGUGUGGGAGUGCUUGGGGGAGUGUUGUCCAGGACACUUGGCCACUGGUCACGUACCUUUACUCAGGAGACAGACCAGGCCUGUGUGGGGUGCUGAAAGAGCAUGGGCUCUGAAGUUAGACUGCCUGCGUUCAAGUUCCAGCUUUGUGACCUGAGAGCAGUUGCUAAGGCUCUCUGUGCCUCUGUCUCCCCAUCUAUAAAAAGUGGGAUGAUGAUAAUAUUACUCAUCUCAUAAGAUUGCGUGAUAAGUAGGUAAACAUUAAGGACAGUGCUUGGCACUUAGUAAGCACUUAAUACAUGCUGCCUAUUAUGAUUUCACAGGUGUUGACACAAAACUACUUACCUUGGCCUUUCCAUUUCCAGCGCGGAAACAGAUUCUUCUCCACGUUUAGACUCUUUUGUUUUUAUGUGAGGGGAGGUGACAAUAGUGGGAAGAGAAAAAGGGCUUAUUUUACUGACCUGGGGUAAAGCAGCUGCAGGGGCCCAUGACCGGGGAGCAAUGCCAGGAAAGGAGAUCUGGGUCCCAAGAAGUUGAUACCAAGUCUCCCAGAUUGGCCAGCUGGUCUGUGGAUAUCUAGGCCCCUGCCCGCUCCCAUGUACCCUUACUUUCUUGCCCUUCUAUGGGUGUGACUGCCUGUGAGUAGCUGAGGAUGAAAAAAACAGGGAGAAGAGGCAGGGGUCAGUUUGGGUGUUUAUUAACUAAAGAACAGAUCUUGACCUAUCUAUGGAUUCUACGUAUUCCUUCUACCUGCACAUCCAUCCUGCCUUCCCCUCCCCCGCCUAGCCGCUGGUACCAAACUAUCAACAAAGGAUUGCUUGUAUGUUGGGUUUUUAAGGAAAGAAAAGUCCUAGAUUCGCACAUUUGUAAAGAAAAAAUUAUCUGGCCCAUAUCUUUGCCUGCCGUUGUCAACAGCAGAUCAGUGGCUUCCAAAGUUUCCCCAACCACAAAAAGCUGACCUUCCCAGCUCCAGCUUUCCGAGUAAGGUGAGACUGACCUCAGAGUUUUGUAUUUAUCAUUGGAUUUUGCCAAACAAGCCAGCUUAACGAAAAACAUGGAAUUGAGACCAUCUUCACAGGCCAAAACCUGAACAGUAACGAGAACAGAAACUUGGCGAUUGGGGCUCCAUUUGUUUCUGAAAUCCUUCUCUUGUCCUCUCCCUCCCUUCCCCCAGGAGUGUUUAAACCGUUGAAUAAAGAUUUCAUUCAAAGGGAACUGAUUGGCUCUCCCACAAAGCGGGUGGGAGAUGCGUCAUCUGGCGUCAGCAGCCUCACUGAGGGGAGGAAGGUGGUAUUACUGGCACCUUUUAUGUCAGGAGAUCAGCUUUCUCUUUUGGCUGACAGUGUUGUGUCAGUGUUUAAAACUGGAGUCCUUAGGGUCCCUUUCUGAAUAACACUAUCAGCAUCUUUCUAAGCAGCAAAAGAUGUUUCUUUCCCUACUUCAGAUCUGGCCUUAAAAAAACCAGAGCCUAUCUGUUGGCUUGUUUUGGUCUUUUAGACAACAGAAUUUUCAGACUUUCUGAAGUUUUAGAAAUUUCACCUUAAAAAUAAUGAGAGCCUUGAUUAAAAGACGUUUCAAAGAUAUAAGGCAAAUAUUCAUGGAGCACAAAGUACAGCUCUCUGUAGACAAUAAUCUACGUUAAAAAGGGACCCUAACAGUGAUAACUUAAUAAAAUAUUAGGGUGGUAAGUUUGGAGAUGGAGGUUAAGGGGCUGUAAUAAAAUUCUUUAUUUUGUUUAUUGCGAUUUUAUUGCUAUGCUGUUGCCCCCCAGGGAACUGUGAGGAAUAUGGAGAGAGAUGGAAAACAGGUAUGACUUUGGAGUUGUAAGUUUUAGCAGGUGGUGGGAUGGCGGUGUCUUUAGCUGGAAAAGAAGGAAUCGAUUUGGGGAUAGAGGAUGGUAAUAAUAUAUUGGACGCGUUGAGUUUAUGUGCCUGGACGACAUCCUCCACCCAAACAUAGACUCCAUGGAGACAGCAAGAUGUCUCAUGUAUGUUUGUAUCUAGAACACUUAUUACCCAAUAAAUGUCUGAUAAAUAGUUGAAUUAAUGAAUUAAUGAUGUCACGUGGAAAUGUUUACCACACAGGUGGGAAAGUAAAUCUGAUGCUCCAGGGAAGACCGGGAUCUAAUGAUCCUGAGAAAAUCCACAGAGACAUUACUAUUGGAGCCCUGGGAGCAGAUACAUUGGUGAGUGAGCUGAUUGUUUCCUUUCAUACUGAAAUCAAUUGGCUUGAACUUCUUUUCAUAAGGACGACCACACUGCAAAGCCUUUAUUGAGUCAAAGAAGCACAAGCCACUGCUUCUAGAUGUCUGCACUCAAGCUUGGUUGGCUCCUGACAUGUCCUUAGUUGACUCUGACCCCAUGGACCACAACCACCAGGAUAACGGCAUCAUCUGGCAACGGUGCUGACUACAGACUUAGGAAAACGCAAGAUAUUUAAAAAUCAGUAACUAUAAAAAUCAGUCCAAGCUCCACUCCUCUUGCAAAAUACCCCCAGUCUGCAAACAGUCCUCCCUGAACAGAGUUUGAACAAGAGCUCUGUCUGGAGCUGCAUUCUUGCUUACACCCCAGAAGGGCACAUCCCGAACAGCCACCUAUAAGAAAAGGAAGUCUUUCACUGAGACCUGGGGAAUGGAGUGUAUUUGAAAAUCCCUUGGUGUUUUUAAGCAAUAAAUUUAGGUUAAGUUUGA